rnacentral:rRNA from 1 species
UACGGAGGGUGCGAGCGUUGUCCGGAAUCACUGGGCGUAAAGGGCGCGUAGGCGGUGCGAGAAGCGUGUGGUGAAAGGCCGGGGCUCAACCCCGGCUCGGCCGUGCGGACUCUCGCGCUUGGUGAGUGCUGUAGAGGCGGGCGGAAUUCCGGGUGUAGCGGUGGAAUGCGUAGAGAUCCGGAAGAACACCGGUGGCGAAGGCGGCCCGCUGGGCAGUGACUGACGCUGAGGCGCGACAGCGUGGGGAGCAAACAGG